AUGGCGGCCAGUGUGCUCCCCACAUGUCUCGGCCUUUGCCCGGUCUCCCCAUCAGAACCGGGGCUCAGGGGCCCUGGGCCCCGUCCUCCCCAGGCUCUGAGCCUCCCUCUGAAGGACCCCUCGGCCUCUUCCAAACCCACCACCACCUGUGUCCACCCAGCUCCUCUCUGCCUGGGGCCAGGGGGGGACACCAGGAGUGGAGCAGCUCACGAGGUUUGCACAGCAAACGCCUCAGAUCCUGGGACUUCAGAGGCCCCGGCGGAGAGCUCGCCCGAGCGGCGGUCUGCUCCUUGGUGGCUUUUCGAGCCCUGUCACCCAGGCAGGAGGCCCUGGCCGCGCCGGGACGAGGCGGGGGUUCGGGGAGGCGGUGGGUUGCUCAGAGGGGCCACCCCGCAGGCAGGGCCGGGCUGAGCGACCGGCGGCCAGGCUGCACUGUGGCCUGCUAAACCCUGGCGGCCCAGCUGGGAGGGGAGGCGGUGCUGUUUGGGAAACGAGCUCUGAGGGGCGGGAGGGCUGCUGGUGCCAGGAGUGGCUGGGCCUGCUCUGGGCCUCCUCCCAACACGAGGCUGCGGGGACCCCAUCCGCGCCCCUGGGCCCCUCGCCCCGGGCCCUGUCUCCUGGGGCGCCACGCGUACCCCUACGCAAACCCCAGAGCCAAGGCAGCCUGAGGGCCCUUACCCACUCUGAGCCCCGAUUUGCACACCUCCCGUGACCGGGUGCUCACUACCUCACAGGCACACCGUCCAGAUGCACAGCCGUGGGGCUGCAGUGAGGGAGGACCCCUCCCUGACUGCUAGGUCUCCGGAUCAUUCGGGCUGAGCGGCCGGUACCAAGCCCCCUACUGGGUGCAUAGGCUGGGGCUCCUGUACGCCCGGGACAGUUCACUUAAUUAGUCCAGUGUGCAUUGACUGAGUGCCCGCGUGCACCAGGCUCAGCCAGGAGCUAGGGCUACAAAAACUGGUGGCACGGGGAUCCUAAAAGGGCCCUCCCCGUGUGGCAGCGACUUUGCCACGGGAAGUGCCUUGGGUGUCGGAGCUGGAGAGGUGGGUCACAGGAGGAAGGGCCUUCUCGUGAGGGAACAGCCUGUGCAGAGCCUGGAGGUCUGAGCCGGAAGGGGCGCUGGGAAGGCCCAGGUCAUGGCCACGGGAGCCCCGCCCGGGCGGCCGAGCGGGAAGGACGCUCGUGGUGGGAGGGCAGUGUGGCCGAGGCGCUGGGGACUGACGCAGGGUCCCUGUGGGGGGCCUCCCCCUCCAGGUCGGCGAGGUCGGGCCCCGGGGAGCUGGCGGCCCCCGCAGUCAGACAGUGCCGCUGGAGAGGACGUGUCGGGACCGGUCCCGGGAGAGCGGCGUCUGUCCUGCACGGCUCCAGCCCCCGACAGCCUGGCGGGGUCACCCCGAAGCAGGCUCAGCUGGGAGGCGCCCCGUCCAGCGCGGGGUGCGCAGCGGGGGAAGGUCACGGGCGGGGCGGAGCAGGGAGGUCGGCAGUGAGGCCCCAGGACGUGAGUGUGUCGGGUCCCAGCGAAGGGAUUCGGUGGAAGAUGGCCUGGGGCUGCUGGCCAUCGCCCUCCGACCACAGGGCAGGAGAUUAUCCUGGGGGAAUCACAGGGCCCCCUGGGAGGACAGGGGCCGGCGGGGCCGGGGAGCUGGCUCGGGCCUCUGGCCUCUGGAACCCGGCGGGGGGCUGGGGGUGGGACUUGUGUUUUUAGGCUUCAAGAGUGAGUAUUCGAGAGACAGAGGCCAUGACCUGUGACCUAGCCUUGGAGUCACCCUUGGAGGAGGGGAGCCAAGACAAACUCCUAGAAAGAGCUGCUGCGCCUACCGGCCCCCCUCGCCCCCGCCCCGGCCCCCGGAAAGGGUCCUGCCAGCCUCCCAGCGGCCUGUGUCACAGGCUGCGCCUGCGUGAGGUCCCGGGGCCGCAGGAGACGGGCGUUCACACAGCGGGAGCGUGUCCUCAGCUGCGCGGUGGGUGUGGGCAGGGCUGGCUCGGAGCAAGGCGGGGUCCUGUCUCCCCGCUCCAGAGGGCAGCUGGCGCCCCUCGGCCGGCCCUCAUCCAGGAUGGCCUCGUCUGGAGACCCUUCCCUUUGUGACACCUGCCAAGGCCAGGCGGGUACGUCUCUUGUGGGGCCACCAGUGAAGCCACUACAACAUCCCACACAGACUCUUUGAUGAAUGUAGGUAUUAGUUUGGAUAUUUGUCCAUUCCAGUAGGCGACAGACACACCAGCGAAGAGUCCGGAAGUCCACCAAGUCCCUCAGCAAGUUUAUUCACGUACGGUAAACGGCGCAUGUAAAAGCGUACAGUUGGAUGAGCUGAGAUGCGUAGACACCCAGGGAACCUUUGCCACGUUCAGGACAGUGAACGUCUCCAUCAACCAAAGUCUCUGCAUUUUAUUUUUAUGGUAACGAUGUGGCCAGGACCAAGCAGGGGCCUCUUUCCCACUGCGUAACUGCUGCCUCGUUGCUGGGUUGGGCCUGCCUGUCUGUCGGUCCGUCUCAGGCCCUUACGAAACUCCUGCUAAAAAUGCCUGUGUGGGACUUCCCUGGUGGCACAGUGGUUACGAAUCUGCCUGCCAACGCAGGGGACACGGGUUCGAGCCCUGGGCCGGGAAGAUCCCGCAUGCCGCGGAGCAACUAAGCCCGUGCGCCACAGCUACUGAGCCUGCGCUCUAAAGCCCGCGAGCCACAACUACUGAGCCCACAAGCCACAACUACUGAAGCCCACACACCUAGAGCCCAUGCUCUGCAACAAGAGAAGCCACCACAAUGAGAAGCCCGCGCACCGCAAUGAAGAGUAGCCCCCGCUCGCCGCAACUAGAGAAAGCCCGCAUGUAGUAACGAAGACCCAACGCAGCCCAAAAGUAAAUAAAUAAAUAAAUUUAUAAGAAAUAAAAUAAAAAGGCCUGUGUGCCCGUCCCUGUGCACAGCUGCACGGUCGCUGUAAGAUGACUUCCUGGCAGCGCGACCUGAGCCAAGGGGUUGC